AGACAGAUAGAUAGAUAGAUAGAUAGAUAGAUAGAUAGAUAGACAGACAGGUAGGUAGGUAGGCAGACAGUCAGAUAGAUAGACAGACAGACAGACAGACAGACAGACAGAUAGAUAGACAGACAGAUAGACAGACAGACAGACAGACAGAUAGAUAGACAGACAGACAGACAGACAGACAUUCAGAUAGAUAGAUAGAUAGAUAGACAGACAGAUAGACAGACAGACAGACAGACAGACAGACAGACAGAUAGAUAGAUAGACAGAUAGAUAGACAGACAGACAGAUAGACAGACAGAUAAAUAGAUAGAUAGAAAGACUGUUAGCUAAAUAAAUAAAUAAAUCACUCAAUCAAUAAUAUUCGGUCAGUCCAUCUCUCACAUAUCUACAGAAACACUGGUCAGAUAGUAUUUGUUUUCAAUUUGAAUGAAAACAAGAAUCAAAUCAACUGAUUGCACACGAAACAUAAA
ensembl:lncRNA